CCCACACGUAUGUGAGUAGGACCCCAAAGGAUCACCAUCAAAUUUGGCAUAGAUCUCUAAAAACGUUAUUACAUGGGUGUGGGACAUGACUUUUUUAGAGAUCUAUGUCAAUUUGAUGGUGAUCAUUUGGGGUUCCACUUACAUGGGUGUGGG
rnacentral:pre_miRNA from 1 species